AUCAAUUGUCAGUGGCUGUUAUCACUUUAUCCUCCCACUAGCAGCGUAUUAAAAGGUCCAGGGGUUCCAGCUUCUUACCCAAACUUGAUAUUGUUAGACUUAAAUUUUAGCCUAUCUGGUGAAUGUGAAUUAUUUGUGGCUUUAGUUUGUUUUUAGAACUUGAUAAUGAUAUUGAGUAUUUUUUUCUAUGAACAUAGAUGUUGCAAAAUGGUUGAUUAGUUGUUGGGCGAUGUUUGUAUUUAUUUAUUUAGAGACAGAGUCAUGCUCCAUAGCCCAGACUGGCCUUGAAUUUAGCAAUCUGCCUAUCUUCACAGUGUUAGGAUUACAGGUACUUACACUCAAUUGAACUUUCUUGUUUAUUUUUAUUUUUUUUUCUUAUUUUUAUUUUGUUGUUUUAUGUUUUAAAACAAGGUUUCACUAUGUAGCCCAGGCUGGCUUCAAAUUCAGGACUCCUGAGUCCUGAGAUUACAUGUGUGCACCACCACACCCAGCUUGGACUUUUUACUUUUUUUAAAAAAUUCUUUUCUGUAGAUUUUGGGGGUUUUGUUUGUUUUGUUUUGGUACCACACAACAAACUCACAACCUUGCAUUUACCAGGCAAGUGCUUGAGCAGCUGAGCUAAAUCCCUGGCCCCUGGACUUUUCACUUUUAACUGUAUUUUAAAUUUUGUACUUUUGAUUAAAGCCCAUUUAUUGGUUUUGUUUUUAUGGUUAGUAUUUUUUGUGUUCUUGAACAAAAGCCUCUUGGACCGCAUUCUAAGAAAUGCUGAGAAAAGGACUGCUUGUCAUUCGGCAAGAAAUUAGGGGAAACAAAAGGUUUCAGAGGAACGUCCCCUAACAUCUUUAGCUUUUUCAGCAGCUCUAGCUGUUCAUGGGAAACUCCCUCCAAAUCGAUCUCUUAAUAAUACUCAAAUCUGGAUUUGUGAAUUUUAUGUCUUUAAUGUUUAAAAAAACUAGUUGUUGGUCUUCCUCAAUAAAAGCAAUGGGCUUUGUAGUUUGAUAGAACUGUGGGGGGGAGGAGGAGGACCUGCGGCGGCUGAAAAGAUAAGAAGUAUGAAAUAUAAAUGACCUUUAUUUUGGGAAUGCGGGGAGAGACACCCCCAACCCCCCGGGGCGUGGCAUCUCCACCCCCAGGCCGGCAAUCUCUCCAUGGAACGUGUGGAGUGAGGCACAUAAGUAGCCUAGGCCUGGGGUGGAACCUAAGGGGGGCAUUAGGGAUGCACAGGUAGCCCAUUGAUCUUAGUUUGGCGCCAGAGGCAAUUCCUAAGGGUGAGGGAAAUAGGAGCUCCUUGGCUUUACUGGCUGCAGUGUCUGGCCUGGGCCAAAACCCUUUCAUAUCCUGUCUUAUGAUUAUUAUGAAAAGGGGUGAAGAUUUCUCUCUUUAACUACGUCCUGCUGGCUGAGGGUGCUGUACUGGUGUCUAGGGGAGUUGAUGGGAUGACGGUUGAUGUCUAGGUAGAAGCUGGUGUCAGGUAUUUUAGCCAGGACAGCUUCACUGGUGAAUGCACGUAUGUUAGACUGAAAAAACAAAGAGACAAGAUGUUAUAAGGAGACAUGGCACUGUCAUAUUUAAGGAUCCAAGUGAGGUAGAGGGCAAGGUGCCUUUGAUUUAGACAUGUCAUUCUAUCAGGAUGAUGUUGAGGUAGGAACAUUUCUACGGCAAGGCAGAAUUCUGAAAAAUUAAACGUGGGAUUAGGAGGAGUGAAGUUAUGAGAGGUGCUUAUUCCCCCAUAUGAAAGCAUAAAAGUUAAAAGGUAGGUCGGUAAGGCUUGUCUCUGGUAUAUAUGAUGUUGGAGUCUGUAGGCAAUACUGUUGAGUCCUGCUGUAACAUUGAUCAUUAAUAGAAUGUAAGAAAUUAGGAACCAAAGUGGAUAACAAAACAUGACAACCUGUGAAUUGUGGCCGUGAGGCCUUGGUAAGGCAGAGAUGAGUAGGAAAAGGAUGGUUGGAUCUAGGGCCUGGUGAUGUGAACCCAGGAUGGCACUCUAGCAACUUUGAUUGCUGUUGAGGUUACCAAAAAUAUCAAGUAUGGGUCGCUGUAACCUGGUUGUAGUCCUUGGAAUGUUUUGCUGCAACAGAAUGUUAGCAUGUAUAUCAGCAGUUUCCCUGGUUGUGAGAAAGGCUUUUAUGUAUCCUGAAAAAGUAUAAACAAAGUGAGAAGACAAAAUGUUAUCUGUCAGCCUGUAUGAAAGGGAAUAAAAGCAUUUUAAGAUUUAGGACUGGGACCAGCACAAAAUAGGCCCUGUUUGUAACUGGCAUAGGUUGACCUUUAAUACUCUGACAUUGAGGAUUUAUUAAAGUAGUCUGAAAACUCAGUAAGAACUCUGUAUAUAUGGCCUCUAUGUCCACAAACAUAGAGAAUGUCUUACCUUGAGAGUUUUAAUGUGACUUGGACUCUGAGACAGACACCCACAAAGGCGGGUUGUUGUUGGCCCUUAGCCCCUCUCAGUCUUUGGCAGCAAUUUGUGUUGGUGAUGAAUCUGGCAGUGUUCUGUGAGGGCUAGAAGUUAGGAUGGCCCACCCACUCUCUGGUGACCAGGACAGCCCAGCAGCCCUGGAGUAAGGUCUCAAAGAACGCCAGGAUGGGGCAUUUUCUUGCCCAAUGUCUUCUGCUGCAUUUGAGCGUGGUCCGUGGUGGGGGGGCAGUUAGCUCUACCUUGUGUAGAUUUGCCUGUCUCAGAACUGCAAGUGUUAUUUAAAAUAUGAAAAACCAUAUCAAGGUCUCUGUGGAGCUUGAAGGUCAAGUUUUGCCUUGUUGCUUGAGAUCUGGACUACAGUAAAAGGUAUCUGUAGAAUUAAGUAAGUAUGUAGGAGCUUAAUAUUGGCAUUUUAGAUUAGAAAGCAGGCUUUAUCUGGAUGUUAUAACAGUUUUUAUAGGGUGCCACGUGGAAUUAACAAAAAAGCUUUAAUGGAAACAUUUUGCUGUAAAGGUUUACCAAUCUUUAAUUUAGUAUAAACUCUCAAGUUAUUAUCACCUAGUUGUUAAACAGGAGAUCGGGGACAACACAGUAAAGUAGAGGCAAUAAAUUUAGAACAUUACUGGUGGUCCACAGCAAAAAGGAAUUGAUAAAUAUCUCUUAAUUUUAGUGGUUAAAACAGGAAAUUACUGUAGACUUUAAUUGAUAAGCAAGGCUGGUAAAAUUACCAGGUGGCCACUAACCUUGAAUAAAUGGUUCAAAAAUUGUAAUAAAAAUAGCCUCUCUUGAGUGGAACUGAAUUGUAAAAAAAAUGUGUUUGAGCGGAGCCGCGAGAUGUUGUAAACGCGCAGUGUCUAAGGCAGUUUGGAACUCUGAGGCAGACAGAGCAUGCCUGUAGAGAGAACAUAGUUGUGCUUGGAGCGGGCCGAGAUUAUCUGGCAUGUAGCGUGUAGGUGGAACAUGAAAAGUGGGCGGGGUGAGUGCCGCAACACAGCACGCAGGGGCGGGCUCAGAUCGCACCCCAAAACGGCGAUGAUGGCGCUGGGAUGGUGCAGGGAAAUACGCAAUUGAGCUGUGAUGGUGGGGGGGGGUGCCGGCUGCAACGGCAGAGGCGCAUGGCUGGCAGCCGGCAAACAGUAACCUGCAGGAGCCGCGCUCCCUCGCGGGACGCGUGGCCCAGGACGCUGGGGCGGCACCAGCACGAAUGGGCCUGCACGGCAGGGAACCGGUUGGAUGUGGAGCUGAGUCACCAUGUGGAGCUGAAACUAUUUGUGGGGCACACAGAAACGCCAACCCCAUGUGGACCUGAAGCACCGCAUGGAAGUGGAGAUACUGCACAGAAUUGGAGGAGAUGUGAGGGCCAAAAAGCUGUUUAAAAUCUUAUGUGUAUCUCAA